UGAUGACGAGACGCUAAGGCGUUGAAGCAGUGUAUGUCAGACUUCCAAGAAAAGCUCGCAAUGUCACAAAUAAAAAUGCCUGUACCAUAACCGACACAGGUGGGUAGGUAGAGUAUACUAAGGGGCGCGAGAUAACUCUCUCUAAGGAACUCGGCAAAAUGACUCCGUAACUUCGGGAGAAGGAGUGCCUUAUUUAUAAGGUUGCAAUAACAAGAUCCAAGCAACUGUUUAUCAAAAACACAGGUCUCCGCUAAGUCGUAAGACGAUGUAUGGGGGCUGACGCCUGCCCAGUGCCAGAAGGUUAAAGAAGUUGGUUAGUGUAUGCGAAGCUGAUGACUGAAGCCCUGGUGAACGGCGGCCGUAACUAUAACGGUCCUAAGGUAGCGAAAUUCCUUGUCGGGUAAGUUCCGACCCGCACGAAAGGCGUAAUGAUUUGGAUACUGUCUCGGAGAGAGGCUCGGUGAAAUAGACUUGUCUGUGAAGAUGCGGACUACCUGCACCAGGACAGAAAGACCCUAUGAAGCUUUACUGUAACUUGAAAUUGGAAUUGGACUUUGCUUGCGCAGUAUAGGUGGGAAGCGUUGAAAAUAUUCUUGCGGGAGUAUUGGAGCUAUCAGUGAGAUACCACUCUUGUAAUGUUAGAUUUCUAACUUUGAACCAUAAUCUGGUCAAAGAACAGUUUCAGGUGGGCAGUUUGACUGGGGCGGUCGCCUCCCAAAUGGUAACGGAGGCGUACAAAGGUUUCCUCUGAACGGAUAGAAAUCGUAUCUAGAGUGUAAAGGCAUAAGGAAGCUUGACUGUGAGACCUACAAGUCGAGCAGGGACGAAAGUCGGUCUUAGUGAUCUGACGGUACUGAGUGGAAAGGCCGUCACUCAACGGAUAAAAGUUACUCUAAGGAUAACAGGCUGAUCUCCCCCAAGAGUUCACAUCGACGGGGAGGUUUGGCACCUCGAUGUCGGCUCAUCGCAUCCUGGGGCGGUAGUACGUCCCAAGGGUUGGGCUGUUCGCCCAUGAAAGCGGUACGCGAGCUGGGUUCAGAACGUCGUGAGACAGUUCGGUCCAUAUCCGGUGUAGGCGCUAGAAUAUUGAGAGGAGCCUUCUUUAGUACGAGAGGACCGAGAAGGACACACCGCUGGUGUACCAGUUAUCGUGCCAACGGUAAACGCUGGGUAGCUAUGUGUGGAGUGGAUAACCGCUGAAAGCAUCUAAGUGGGAAGCCCACCUCGAGAUGAGUAUUCUCAC
rnacentral:rRNA from 1 species